rnacentral:tRNA from 1 species
UCCCUGGUGGCCUAGUGGUUAAGGACUUGGCAUUGUCACUGCUAUUGUUCGGGUUCAACCCCUGGCCUAGGAA